GAUGAACGCUGGCGGCGUGCCUAAUACAUGCAAGUCGAGCGAACAGACGAGGAGCUUGCUCCUCUGACGUUAGCGGCGGACGGGUGAGUAACACGUGGAUAACCUACCUAUAAGACUGGGAUAACUUCGGGAAACCGGAGCUAAUACCGGAUAAUAUAUUGAACCGCAUGGUUCAAUAGUGAAAGACGGUUUUGCUGUCACUUAUAGAUGGAUCCGCGCCGCAUUAGCUAGUUGGUAAGGUAACGGCUUACCAAGGCAACGAUGCGUAGCCGACCUGAGAGGGUGAUCGGCCACACUGGAACUGAGACACGGUCCAGAAUCCUACGGGAGGCAGCAGUAGGGAAUCUUCCGCAAUGGGCGAAAGCCUGACGGAGCAACGCCGCGUGAGUGAUGAAGGUCUUCGGAUCGUAAAACUCUGUUAUUAGGGAAGAACAAAUGUGUAAGUAACGAUGCACGUCUUGACGGUACCUAAUCAGAAAGCCACGGCUAACUACGU
rnacentral:rRNA from 1 species